rnacentral:rRNA from 1 species
GCAAGUCGGACGGUAACAGGUAUUGCUUGCAAUCCGCUGACGAGUUGCGCACGGGUGCGCAACGCGUAUAGAACCUACCCUGUACAGGGGGAUAGCCCAGAGAAAUUUGGAUUAAUACCCCGUAGUACCUAUUAGAGGCAUUUUUAAUAGGUUAUAGUUUUCGAACGGUAUAGGAUGGCUAUGCGUCUUAUUAGCUAGUGGGUAAGGUAACGGCUUACCUAGGCAACGAUAAGUAGGGGCCCUGAGAGGGGGAUA